UUCAAACACCGCUCUCCAUACGAUUACCGAAGUUAAGCAACGUCGAGCCUGGUCAGUAACUAGAUGGGUGACCGCUUGGGAAUAUCAGCUCUUGU